CAGCGUUAGCAGAGAGAGGAGAGGGUGGAAUAAGGAAGAAAGGGAGCGUGGGGGACGUGUGGUUGCCGAAAGAAGUCUCAAGAAUUUUGCAAUCAACCUCGGCAAGGAGGCCUGGGUAAAGGGAGGGGUCAGGAGGCGUUGGGAACCGACCCAGGAGUUCCGGGCACCCUUCUACCAGCUCAGCCUCGGCGGAAGAGCGGGUCCUGAAAAGUGACGCCACGCCCACACAAGGAGAGUUUGCAUAUUUAUGAAGGAACGCCGAGAUCUUUGGAGGACCUAGCCGUCUAGAGGGACCAGAACGCCGCGUUUCUAGCGCGUUUCCGUUUCCGCUAGGAUAUUGGCGGUUGGUGAGCAUCAUGGCAACCGUGACAGCCACAACCAAGGUCCCAGAGAUCCGAGACGUGACGAGGAUUGAACGUAUCGGCGCGCACUCCCACAUCCGGGGGCUGGGGCUGGACGACGCCUUGGAGCCACGGCAGGCUUCCCAGGGCAUGGUGGGGCAGCUCGCAGCCCGGCGGGCAGCUGGGGUUGUGCUGGAGAUGAUCCGGGAAGGGAAGAUCGCCGGGCGGGCGGUCCUCAUCGCUGGCCAGCCGGGCACGGGGAAGACAGCCAUCGCCAUGGGCAUGGCACAGGCCCUGGGCCCUGACACCCCGUUCACAGCCAUCGCGGGCAGCGAGAUCUUCUCCCUGGAGAUGAGCAAGACAGAGGCGCUGACGCAGGCCUUCCGGCGGUCUAUCGGGGUUCGCAUCAAGGAGGAGACCGAGAUCAUCGAAGGCGAGGUGGUGGAGAUCCAGAUCGAUCGGCCCGCGACAGGGACGGGCUCUAAGGUAGGGAAGCUGACCCUUAAGACCACGGAGAUGGAGACCAUAUACGACCUGGGCACCAAGAUGAUCGAGUCCCUGACCAAGGACAAGGUCCAGGCUGGGGACGUGAUCACCAUCGACAAGGCCACGGGCAAGAUCUCCAAGCUGGGCCGCUCCUUCACACGCGCUCGUGACUAUGACGCCAUGGGUUCCCAGACCAAGUUUGUGCAGUGUCCAGACGGGGAGCUCCAGAAACGCAAAGAGGUGGUGCACACCGUGUCCCUGCAUGAGAUCGACGUCAUCAACUCCCGCACCCAGGGCUUCCUGGCUCUCUUCUCAGGCGACACCGGGGAGAUCAAGUCAGAAGUCCGAGAGCAGAUCAACGCCAAGGUGGCUGAGUGGCGUGAGGAGGGCAAGGCGGAGAUCAUCCCUGGAGUGCUGUUCAUCGACGAGGUGCACAUGCUGGACAUUGAGAGCUUCUCCUUCCUCAAUCGGGCCCUGGAAAGUGACAUGGCGCCGGUCCUCAUCAUGGCCACCAACCGAGGCAUCACCCGGAUCCGGGGUACCAGCUACCAGAGCCCCCACGGCAUCCCCAUCGACCUCCUGGACCGACUGCUCAUCGUCUCCACCUCGCCCUACAGUGAGAAGGACACGAAACAGAUCCUCCGCAUCCGGUGCGAGGAGGAAGACGUAGAGAUGAGUGAGGACGCCUACACGGUGCUGACCCGCAUCGGGCUGGAGACGUCGCUGCGCUACGCCAUCCAGCUCAUCACGGCCGCCAGCCUGGUGUGCCGGAAGCGCAAGGUCAGCCCGCCGAGGCACGGAAGUCCAGGUAGAUGACAUCAAGAGGGUCUACUCGCUCUUUCUGGACGAGUCGCGCUCUACACAGUACAUGAAGGAGUACCAGGAUGCCUUUCUCUUCAAUGAGCUCAAAGGCGAAACCAUGGACACCUCCUGAGCUGAUGUGACCCUCGCCCUCCCUCCCCCCCCCGCUCUGUUUUCUAUUGGAGUUCUGACACUGUGACUUUGUAUAAAAUGGUUCUGAUAUCGGA